rnacentral:rRNA from 1 species
UACAGGGGGGGCAAGCGUUGUUCGGAAUUACUGGGCGUAAAGGGUGCGUAGGUGGCAUGGUAAGUCGGAUGUGAAAUCCCGGGGCUCAACCCCGGAACUGCAUUCGAUACUGCUGCGCUAGAGUACUGGAGAGGAGAUUGGAAUUUACGGUGUAGCAGUGAAAUGCGUAGAUAUCGUAAGGAAGACCAGUGGCGAAGGCGGAUCUCUGGACAGUUACUGACACUGAGGCACGAAGGCCAGGGGAGCAAACGGG